rnacentral:rRNA from 1 species
CACGAACCGUCCAAACGUUAUUCGGAAUCAUUGGGCUUAAAGGGUGCGUAGGCGGCGCCUUAAGUCGGGUGUGAAAUCCCUCGGCUCAACCGAGGAAUUGCGCCCGAUACUGGGGUGCUCGAGGGAGACAGGGGUGAGCGGAACUGAUGGUGGAGCGGUGAAAUGCGUUGAUAUCAUCAGGAACACCGGUGGCGAAAGCGGCUCACUGGGUCUCUUCUGACGCUGAGGCACGAAAGCCAGGGUAGCGAACGGGAUUAGAUACCCCGGUAGUCCUGGCCGUAAACGAUGAGCACUGGGUCGAGGACUCCCCCAUAGGUUCUCGGCCGUAGCGAAAGUGUUAAGUGCUCCGCCUGGGGAGUAUGGUCGCAAGGCUG